CUUGAACCUUAUGCCAACUACACCUUUAAUGUGGAAGCCCAAAAUGGAGUGUCAGGGCUGGGCAGCUCUGGCCAUGCCAGCACCUCAGUCAGCAUCAGCAUGGGGCAUGCAGAGUCACUGUCAGGCCUGUCUCUGAGACUGGUGAAGAAAGAACCGAGGCAACUAGAGCUGACCUGGGCGGGGUCCCGGCCCCGAAGCCCUGGGGCGAACCUGACCUAUGAGCUGCACGUGCUGAACCAGGAUGAAGAACGGUACCAGAUGGUUCUAGAACCCAGGGUCUUGCUGACAGAGCUGCAGCCUGACACCACAUACAUCGUCAGAGUCCGAAUGCUGACCCCACUGGGUCCUGGCCCUUUCUCCCCUGAUCAUGAGUUUCGGACCAGCCCACCAGUGUCCAGGGGCCUGACUGGAGGAGAGAUCGUAGCCGUCAUCUUUGGGCUGCUGCUUGGUGCAGCCUUGCUGCUUGGGAUUCUCGUUUUCCGGUCCAGGUGCCAGCUCCUGCCCCCUCCCCAACCACCAGCCCUGGGUCAGAAGCCCCUGACUGCAGCCCCAACGACCCUCCCAUCCC
rnacentral:sRNA from 1 species